CCUCUCUCCUCUAUGUUAGGCAGGGAUAUUCAGGGAAAGUUAGUGGAAGAAAAAAAAAAAAGUUUCUGACUGCAUCACCCUAAAUUGAGUGUCUCGAGUCCACAGCACAGCUGUGUGACCCUAGACCCCCCAGGGGGGCUGCAGC